rnacentral:tRNA from 1 species
UGUUUAACAGCUCAGUCGGUAGAGCAUGAGACUCUUAAUCUCAAGGUCAUGGGUUUGAAUCCCACAUUGAGCAA